UUUUAAAAAUAUUGACCUCUGAUAGUUACUUCAUUCGUGUCUUAUUCUUCCAAUCAUUCAACAGUAAAAAGGAGAAACUGUUAAAGACAAUAUGAUCAUCAUACUAUAAUUUCAGAAACAUUGUUUGUUCCGCUAUCCUCAAAGGCGCAUGGCCAACAAAUUCCACCAAAAAUGCUGUGUGCAUGUAGGUUGACCCUAGAACUGCCCUUAAGGGGAUUUGUAAUGGUGAAGGUCAAAGUCACUUGGGUCAACAGCCAAUAUAUUUGCUUUAUCUAUCUGGUUCUUCUUAUACUCCUUCCAGCUGCUUUGACUGAUUUUAAUUCUUUUUUUUUUGUAUAGUGCCAAAACACAACAACACUGCCUCAAGGCGCUUCACACAGGUAAGGUCUCAACUCACUAACCCCUCUGAGGAAGCACACAGGCAA